rnacentral:rRNA from 1 species
CGGGUGAGUAACACGUAUCAACCUGCCGUCUACUCUUGGCCAGCCUUCUGAAAGGAAGAUUAAUCCAGGAUGGCAUCAUGAGUUCACAUGUCCGCAUGAUUAAAGGUAUUUUCCGGUAGACGAUGGGGAUGCGUUCCAUUAGAUAGUAGGCGGGGUAACGGCCCACCAAAGCGACGAUCAGUAGCCGGCCUGAGAGGGUGAACGGCCACAUUGGGACUGAGACACGGCCCAA